AUUGAACGCUGGCGGCAGGCCUAACACAUGCAAGUCGAGCGAGCGGCGGACGGGUGAGUAAUGUCUGGGAAACUGCCUGAUGGAGGGGGAUAACUACUGGAAAAGGUAGCUAAUACCGCAUACCAUCAGAUGUGCCCAGAUGGGGUUAGCUAGUAGGUGGGGUAACGGCUCACCUAGGCGCCGAUCCCUAGCUGGUCUGAGAGGAUGACCAGCCACACUGGAACUGAGACAGGGUCCAGACUCCUACGGGAGGAAGCAGGGGGGAAUAUUGCACAAUGGGCGCAAGCCUGAAGCAGCCAGGCCGGGUGUGGGAAGAAGGCCUUCGGGUUGUAAAGCACUUUCAGCGGGGAGGCGUUACCCGCAGAAGAAGCACCGGCUAACUCCGUGCCAGCCGCCGCGUAAUUC
rnacentral:rRNA from 1 species